GAUGAAGAACGCAGCGAAAUGCGAUAAGUAAUGUGAAUUGCAGAAUUCAGUGAAUCAUCGAAUCUUUGAACGCACAUUGCGCCCUCUGGUAUUCCGGGGGGCAUGCCUGUCCGAGCGUCAUUACAACCCUCAAGCUUUGCUUGGUAUUGGACAUUGCCAGUUUCUGGCAGGUCUUAAAAUCAGUGGCGGUGCCAUUUGGCUUCAAGCGUAGUAAUUCUUCUCGCUUUGGAGAUCCAGGUGGUUACUUGCCAAUAACCCCCAAUUUUUUCAGGUUGACCUCGGAUCAGGUAGGGAUACCCGCUGAACUUAAGCAUAUCAAUAAGCGGAGGA
rnacentral:misc_RNA from 1 species